rnacentral:rRNA from 1 species
GUAGGUGGCAAGCGUUGUCCGGAAUUAUUGGGCGUAAAGCGCGCGCAGGCGGUCCUUUAAGUCUGAUGUGAAAGCCCACGGCUCAACCGUGGAGGGUCAUUGGAAACUGGGGGACUUGAGUACAGAAGAGGAAAGCGGAAUUCCAAGUGUAGCGGUGAAAUGCGUAGAGAUUUGGAGGAACACCAGUGGCGAAGGCGGCUUUCUGGUCUGUAACUGACGCUGAGGCGCGAAAGCGUGGGGAGCAAACAGGGAUUAGAUACCCUGGUAGUCCACGCCGUAAACGAUGAGUGCUAAGUGUUAGGGGGUUUCCCGCCCCCUUAGUGCUGCAGCUAACGCAUUAAGCACUCCGCCUGGGGGAGUACGGCCGCAAGGCUG